UACGUAGGGUGCGAGCGUUGUCCGGAAUCAUUGGGCGUAAAGAGCGUGUAGGCGGCUUGGCAAGUCUGACGUGAAAGCCCGCGGCUCAACCGCGGAUUGUCGUUGGAAACUGCCUCGCUAGAGUCCGGAAGAGGAGAGCGGAAUUCCUGGUGUAGCGGUGGAAUGCGCAGAUAUCAGGAAGAACACCCGUGGCGAAGGCGGCUCUCUGGGACGGUACUGACGCUGAGGAGCGAAAGCGUGGGGAGCGAACAGG
rnacentral:rRNA from 1 species